GAUGUUGGCUUAGAAGCAGCCAUACAUUUAAAGAGUGCGUAAUAGCUCACUGGUCAAGUGGUAGAGCGCCGAAAAUGAACGGGGCUAAAAUCUAAUACCGAAGCUGUGGACUAAUUAAAUUAGUGGUAGAGGAGCAUUGUGUAAGGGGUGAAGCUAAGUUGGAAGACGAAGUGGACUUUACAGAAGAGAGAAUGCUGGCAUGAGUAGCGAAAAGGAGGGUGAGAAUCCCUCCCGUCGAAAGCCUAAGGAUUCCUGAGGAAGGCUCGUCCUCUCAGGGUAAGUCGGGACCUAAGCCCAGGCUGAAAAGCGUAAGCGAUGGACAACAGGUUGAGAUUCCUGUACUAUCUUUGAAUGUUUGAGAGAAGUACUGACGCAGGAGGAUAUGUUGAGCGUGUGAAUGGUAGAGCACGUCUAAGCAAGUAGGUAGAGAAUAGAGGCAAAUCCCUAUUCUUAAUAUCGAGAUGUGAUGGGGAGCGAAAAACAAGUAGUGAAGCAACAAAUUCCAAACUGCCAAGAAAAGGUACUAUUGAGUGAGAAGAUACCCGUACCAAAACCGACACAGGUAGGCAAGGAGAGAAUCCUAAGACGCGCGGAAGAACCUUUGUUAAGGAACUCGGCAAAAUGACCCCGUAACUUCGGGAGAAGGGGUACCAUUAGAUGUGAUAUACAUACGUAUGGAGCAUAGAGUGGUCGCAGAGAAUAGGCCCAAGCAACUGUUUACCAAAAACACAAGUCUCUGCUAAAUCGAAAGAUGAAGUAUAGGGGCUGACACCUGCCCGGUGCUGGAAGGUUAAGGGGAAAUGUUAGAGCAAUCGAAGCAUAGAACUUAAGCCCCAGUAAACGGCGGCCGUAACUAUAACGGUCCUAAGGUAGCGAAAUUCCUUGUCGGGUAAGUUCCGACCCGCACGAAAGGUGUAAUGAUUUGGGCACUGUCUCAACAAAGGAUCCGGUGAAAUUGUAGUAGUCGUGAAGAUGCGACUUACCCACGAUAGGACGGAAAGACCCCGUGGAGCUUUACUGUAGGCUGGCAUUGGAAUUUGGUAUUAAAUGUACAGGAUAGGUGGGAGACUAAGAAGCGAGAGCGCCAGUUUUCGUGGAGUCAAUGUUGGGAUACCACUCUUUUGAUACUAAAUUUCUAACUUGAUACUCUGAAGCGAGUAUAAGGACACUGUCAGUUGGGCAGUUUGACUGGGGCGGUCGCCUCCUAAAGAGUAACGGAGGCGUUCAAAGGUUCCCUCAGAAUGGAUGGAAAUCAUUCUAAGAGUGCAAAGGCAAAAGGGAGCUUAACUGCGACACCAACAAGUGGAGCAGAUAGGAAACUAGGACUUAGUGAUCCGGUGGUACCGAGUGGAAGGGCCAUCGCUCAACGGAUAAAAGCUA
rnacentral:rRNA from 1 species